rnacentral:rRNA from 1 species
AUACGGAGGGUGCAAGCGUUACUCGGAAUCACUGGGCGUAAAGCGCGCGCAGGCGGCUUGAUAAGUUGGAUGUGAAAGCCUACGGCUCAACCGUAGAACUGCAUCCAAAACUGUCAGGCUAGAGUGUGGGAGAGGAAGAUGGAAUUAGUUGUGUAGGGGUAAAAUCCGUAGAGAUAACUAGGAAUACCAAAAGCGAAGGCAAUCUUCUGGAACACUACUGACGCUCAGGCGCGAAGGCAUGGGGAGCAAACAGGAUUAGAAACCCCUGUAGUCC